CCACACAUUUAGUGGGAAAAUGGAGGAAAAAUAACUGCUAUUCAAAUUUCGCAAUCUGGUUUCUCCCCACCAGGCGCUGCCAAAUCCGCUGAAACGGAAUAAUCUUUUAUGAGGCCAGCAGAACAAAUCCCAGCGAUAACAGGAUUGGUGGGGAAACGACUGGUUUAAGGCUGCCUCAGCUCACUGCCAGCCAAAAAG
rnacentral:lncRNA from 1 species